rnacentral:rRNA from 1 species
AUAAGUAUUAUACAGCGAAACUGCGAAUGGCUCAUUAAAACAGUUAUAGUUUAUUUGAUAAUCGAAUUUACAUGGAUAACCGUGGUAAUUCUAGAGCUAAUACAUGCUGGUGAGCCCGACUCUUUGGAAGGGCGGUAUUUAUUAGAUAACAAGCCAAUAUUGCUUUGCUCUAUUGUGGUGACUCAUAAUAACUGAUCGAAUCGCAAAGCCUUUGGCUGCGAUACAUCAUUCAAGUUUCUGCCCCAUCAGCUUCCGUUGGUAGUGUAUUGGACUACCAUGGCGUUCACGGGUAACGGAGGAUUAGGGUUCGAUUCCGGAGAGGGAGCCUGAGAAACGGCUACCACAUCUAAGGAAGGCAGCAGGCGCGUAAAUUACCCAAUCCUGAUUCAGGGAGGUAGUGACAAGAAAUAACGGACCGAAGCCUUCGGGUUUCGGGACUGCAAUGAGCCGAAUUUACACCCCUUUGUGAGAAUCGAUUGGAGGGCAAGUCUGGUGCCAGCAGCCGCGGUAAUUCCAGCUCCAAUAGCGUAUAUUAAAGUUGUUGCAGUUAAAAAGCUCGUAGUUGGAUUUCUGGGAGGGUGCCAAUGUCCGCUAACGUGCGUGCGCAGCGGCGCCCUUCCAUCCUUCUGUUAACGCUUCAUGGCAUUCAUUUGCUGGUCGCGGGCUCAGAUAUUUUACCUUGAGAAAAUUAGAGUGUUUCAGGCAGGCUAGGCCGGAAUACAUUAGCAUGGAAUAAUGGAACAGGACUGAUGGUCUCUUUGUUGGUUUGAGGGACUGCAGUAAUGAUUAAUAGGGAUAGUUGGGGGCAUUAGUAUUUAAUUGUCAG